ensembl:lncRNA
CAAGUUAAAAGGAGAUCAUUAGGAUGAAUCUUAAUCUGUUCUGAUUAGUGUCCUUGGAAUAUGAGGAAAUGUAUUUAUGUUUUAGAAUAUAUAUUUUUAUAAAAUGAACUGUGACAAAGACAUUUGUAGUGGAGAAAAGGCUGGCAAAAAUGCUCACACACUCCUGCACUCGAGGUGAAAAAUAAUUACACUUGUGGCCUUUGCAUCUGGCUCAGCUCCAGAACUUGGUAUAUUCACAUCACUGUAAAAUGAGGAAAUCCAGAUGCUUACACCUCGAGGGAAGAGCGAGGAGACGCAGGGGAAGAUAGUGAUCAAAGCCAAGGAGAAAGAUCCCUGAAGGAGCCAGUCCCGCCACGCCCUGGCCAUGGAAUUCUGCCUCCCAGACCGUGAGCAAUACUGUUUGUUGUGUAAGUCGCACAGGCUUUGGUGCUUCAGCAGCAUCACUAGGGGACUAAGACACUGUCAUGUCUUCCACCACACUGGCUACAGCCUGUGCACCUUUCCUGGAGCCAAUGGUUGAAAGGUACUACACAGCAGGGCUGGGAGCGAGCCCGGAGCCUCUCCCCAGAUGCCCAGCCACGAAGCCGACAGAGACCCACAGCUGAAGGUCUCCCCAGAGCAGCACAUGCUCACCCACAUUCUGUCACCUUGGCCAGUUCCUCCCUGGGUUUGGGAGUCCAGCCUGUGCAUUCCUUCUUCGCACAGUGUAGGUCCCUGAGGGUAAGAGGACCACACUUUCUUACUUCCAUCCUUCAGCAGGCAUUUGGUGCAGUGUGGCAGUGCGCAGACCCGGGACUGUCCUAAAGCCAACUCACACUCUCCGUGUGUCAGGCAGAAGGAAUCCUUACAGUGACCUGCUUUGAGGUUGCAAAGUGGGGGCACCAUGGCAUGAACUGACACACUUCUUCAGCUACUGGCAGAGGCUUGUUUUGUGUCUUGCCAUUUUAUCUAUCCUUGAGAAUGGUUCAUGUGCAGCUGAGAAAAUAUGUACCCUGCAGCUGUUGGAUGAGAAGUUCUACAAAUGUCUGGUAAGCAGUUUAUACUCAACAUUUCUUUGCUGAUUUUCUCUCUGGAUGAU